GAUGAACGCUGGCGGCGUGCCUAAUACAUGCAAGUCGAGCGAACAGACGAGGAGCUUGCUCCUCUGACGUUAGCAGCGGACGGGUGAGUAACACGUGGAUAACCUACCUAUAAGACUGGGAUAACUUCGGGAAACCGGAGCUAAUACCGGAUAAUAUAUUGAACCGCAUGGUUCAAUAGUUAAAGACGGUUUUGCUGUCACUUAUAGAUGGAUCCGCGCCGCAUUAGCUAGUUGGUAAGGUAACGGCUUACCAAGGCAACGAUGCGUAGCCGACCUGAGAGGGUGAUCGGCCACACUGGAACUGAGACACGGUCCAGACUCCUACGGGAGGCAGCAGUAGGGAAUCUUCCGCAAUGGGCGAAAGCCUGACGGAGCAACGCCGCGUGAGUGAUGAAGGUCUUCGGAUCGUAAAACUCUGUUAUUAGGGAAGAACAAAUGUGUAAGUAACUAUGCACGUCUUGACGGUACCUAAUCAGAAAGCCACGGCUAACUACGUG
rnacentral:rRNA from 1 species